rnacentral:rRNA from 1 species
UACGUAGGGGGCAAGCGUUGUCCGGAUUUAUUGGGCGUAAAGAGCGUGUAGGCGGCCAGAUAGGUCCGUUGUGAAAACUCGAGGCUCAACCUCGAGACGCCGAUGGAAACCAUUUGGCUAGAGUCCGGAAGAGGAGAGUGGAAUUCCUGGUGUAGCGGUGAAAUGCGCAGAUAUCGGGAGGAACACCGGUGGCGAAGGCGGUUCUCUGGGCCUGACCUGACGCUGAGGAGCGAAAGCGUGGGGAGCGAACAGG